AAUAACUGCUUAGAUAUCUCAUAUCUAGCAGUCCUACUCUGUUUCCCAUAAAGCUUUUUUAAAUUGAGCAAUAUGGAAUGAGUGUCCAUGCUAUCAUGCUGCCUCUGCAACUCAUUUGUCAUAGAGGCAAGUAUGAUACACUUGACAGUUAAAGAAUCAUUUUGCCACAUCCUAUAUGUGGCUUUUUCUUCCUCUGUGGCAUCCUCCCCAACUGGCUCAAUGUCAGGGGUAUCAAGGAUGUAAGAAAGCUUCUCUUGACUAAGUACUAUUUUAAGAUUUCUCAACCAGUCCACAUAGUUGGGACCAGUCAAUUUAUUUGUAUCCAAAAUGGAGUGAAGUGAAAGUGAAGAAGCCAUUAAUCUACA
rnacentral:lncRNA from 1 species